AUAUAUAAGUGACAUACAAACAAACUGUAAAGCUUCUACAUAUUUUUAUAUUAUUAUUAGGUAUUUUUUUUAAUGCAGACGUUCUGAAACAUUUUUGUGUCCCUCAACUACUUUUAAAAGGUUCUAAUUGAAGUUACUUGGGUUUUCAAGGAAGUUUUCAAGGUUCUGAUGAUAAAUUAGCAAGGUCUCUACAUUACUAACAGGAAAAAACACUCUUAAGAACGCGACUAAUCAUCUCGGUGGGCUUUGAAAAUAGUCGUGGUGAGAGCAAAGCGUUUCAGAAUACGAGCCAUAAUAAUUAUUUUCACGUAGUGUUUUGCGUGCCUUAUGGCCCUUCGAGCUUUCUCUCAUGCUGGCAUGGGCGGCGUGAGGUGACUAAAGCUUGGAAUAUUAUAGCGUUGUCUCCUUUACUGUUUUCCACGCUGGAUUUUCUUCCAUAGUGCUUACAAUAAAAAUAAUUUAAUUGGCCAUUUUACAUAUCUCCUGUUUGCAGAAUUAAAAUAGUAGGGAUAUAAUAAUGUUACUUUAGAUUUUUUUUUUUCUUUGUUGAAAUACGGCUUUACAUAUCAAAGCUAUAUCGGAAUUGUCGGUGUAAGGCAAACUACUCCAAAGAUGAGGGAAUACAUGAUAAAUUUAUGAACGGAAAUAACAGCUAGAUAGAUUAUACGGGAACUGCCACGUGGACGCUUAAUGGCUUGUUACAGCUUUUCUUUUAUUCCUUAGCUGAAACAGUAUUGGAACCUUCCUUCCGUAUUCCACCGUCCUACGUCACCACGGCCGCCGAGAAGAACUAGGGUGGGCAGAGGCAGCACUGCAACAGGGCACAGUAACACGAUGUGGAGACUGUCAUACCUGACAGGAAGUGUUCUGUCUUUACGUGAUAGCGCAAGGUUGGCUGUGUAUAGAAGAGCAACAAACAAGUAAAAAAUCCCCAGCGUUUGUGUCUGAGCAUGCAAUAUAUUCACAUUGCUGCCGAAGAUCCCAAGGAGCAGUAGCAGCACCUUGGCCCUGAUGUUGAUUUUCCCUCUUGUUGGCUGACUGACAGCAAGACUUCCUCUACGAUGCCACCAAACCCUCCUUCCUUGAGCAGGCCAAGAGGAAACAAUACCAGACCAAAGUCAGUUCUCUGGAAGGUCCUGCACUGCAACACUUGCACAAACUUUGAGUUCAACAUACUGGACUCAACAGGGUGCCACACAGUCUGUCCACCCCAGGACCCUGGCAUGGCCCACUCAUCAUGUGUGUGGGUUUCUAUUUCACAGUGGACCAAAUUAUACACAAUCCCACCAACACUUCACAUCCCACUGAACUAUAAUGGAUGAUGAUGCUCCACCACACUCCCACUUGGAGGAGGCACUCCAGCUUGUCAGCCACACCACUAGACACAAGCAAGCAAUGUCUCCAUCUUGCCCACACUGUUCCUGAGGGUCUGGCCACACAGCUGUUGCUGCUAUUGCUGCUGAACACACCAUGCACUCAGGACAUGGAGGAGCAGGGUAGGCAAGGGGAGCCCAUCUGUGUCAGCACACGGUCCAACCACUGAAGUGGUCCAUUGAGGUGCAACUCUAUCCAGCAAGGAGUGGAGGUGACCGUCUGCCUUCUGUGUAAAGGAGGACAAGGGGAUGUUACAUGGCUGUCAGCAGCAAAAGGAAGGCCUUAGGCCAACAGUCUUACCUCAAUGAGGAAAAACAUUUAGAAACUGGAUAUUUGUAAUUACAAUUGAUUCUCUAUAACCAUGAAUGAAAUUAAGACUCCUUCAUUUUAAGCACUGAAUAAACUGACAUGCUUCUUA